UAAUACGUAGGUGGCAAGCGUUGUCCGGAAUUAUUGGGCGUAAAGGGCGCGUAGGCGGAUAUUUAAGUCUGUCGUAAAAAUGCGGGGCUCAACCCCGUAGUGUCGAUGGAAACUGGAUAUCUUGAGAGCAGGAGAGGAAAGUAGAAUUCCCAGUGUAGCGGUGAAAUGCGUAGAUAUUGGGAGGAAUACCAGUGGCGAAGGCGGCUUUCUGGACUGUUUCUGACGCUGAGGCGCGAAAGCUAGGGGAGCGAACGGGAUUAGAUACCCCGGUAGUCCUAGCCGUAAACGAUGGGUACUAGGUGUAGGAGGUAUCGACCCCUUCUGUGCCGGAGUUAACGCAAUAAGUACCCCGCCUGGGGAGUACGGCCGCAAGGUUGAAACUCAAAGGAAUUGACGG
rnacentral:rRNA from 1 species